UUUUGUAGGACAUGUGGCUUUAGCUAGGGUUUCAUUUUUAGGAGGUGGACCCCACUUUUAGUGAGGAUGCUCGGCAAUUUUAGUGUGUAGCCGACCACUCCUUUUUCCAAGCACACUUUUCACUUCUUCUUGGUUUUCUAGGGUUUUGUAAUGACACUCUCAUGGAGAACUUGCUAUGUGCUUNGNUUGUGACCAUUUGAAUGANCAAAG
rnacentral:lncRNA from 1 species